rnacentral:rRNA from 1 species
GACGAACGCUGGCGGCGGGCUUAACACAUGCAAGUCGAACGGAAAGGCCCUGCUUUUUUGUGGUGCUCGAGUGGCGAACGGGUGAGUAACACGUGAGUAGCCUGCCCUUGACUGUGGGAUAACUUCAGGAAACUGGGGCUAAUACCGGAUAGUAGCUCCUGCUGCAUGGUGGGGGUGGGAAAGUUUCGGCUGGUGUGGCUGGACUCGCGGCUUAUCAGCGUGUUGGUGGGGUAGUGGCUUACCAAGGCGUGGAGGGGUAGCCCGCCUGAGAGGGUGAACGGCCACAUUGGGACUGAGAUACGGACCAGAGUGCUACGGGACGCAGUAGUGGGGAAUAUUGCACAAUGGGCGGAAGCCUGAUGAAGCAACGCUGCGUGCGGGAUGACGGCUUUCGGGUUGUAAACCGCUUUAGCCUGUGACGAAGCGUGAGUGACGGUAAUGGGUAAAGAAGCACCGGCUAACUACGUG